rnacentral:rRNA from 1 species
UACGUAGGGUGCGAGCGUUGUCCGGAAUUAUUGGGCGUAAAGAGCUCGUAGGCGGUUUGUCGCGUCUGCCGUGAAAGUCCGGGGCUCAACUCCGGAUCUGCGGUGGGUACGGGCAGACUAGAGUGAUGUAGGGGAGACUGGAAUUCCUGGUGCAGCGGUGAAAUGCGCAGAUAUCAGGAGGAACACCGAUGGCGAAGGCAGGUCUCUGGGCAUUAACUGACGCUGAGGAGCGAAAGCAUGGGGAGCGAACAGG